rnacentral:rRNA from 1 species
GAUCAUGGCUCAGGGUGAACGCUGGCGGCGUGCUUAACACAUGCAAGUCGAACGAGGCACUUUAACCUGAUUCUUCGGAUGAAGGUUUUUGUGACUGAGUGGCGGACGGGUGAGUAACGCGUGGGUAACCUGCCUCAUACAGGGGGAUAACAGUUAGAAAUGACUGCUAAUACCGCAUAAGACCACGGAGUCGCAUGGCUCAGUGGGAAAAACUCCGGUGGUAUGAGAUGGACCCGCGU